GGUGAAACCGCAAAAGGCUCAUUAAAUCAGUUAUGGUUCCUUGGAUCUUAAACAGUUACUUGGAUAACUGUGGUAAUUCUAGAGCUAAUACAUGCAAACAAGUCCCGACCAGAGAUGGAAGGGACGCUUUUAUUAGAUCAAAACCGAUCGGCGUCCGGCUCCGGCCGGCGCCGUCUCUUUUGGUGACUCUGGAUAACUUUUAGCUGAUCGCACGGUCACAGUACCGGCGACGCAUCUUUCAAAUGUCUGACUUAUCAACUGUCGAUGGUAGGCUCUGCGCCUACCAUGGUUGUAACGGGUAACGGGGAAUCAGGGUUCGAUUCCGGAGAGGGAGCCUGAGAAACGGCUACCACAUCCAAGGAAGGCAGCAGGCGCGCAAAUUACCCACUCCCGGCACGGGGAGGUAGUGACGAAAAAUAACGAUACGGGACUCAUCCGAGGCCCCGUAAUCGGAAUGAGUACACUUUAAAUACUUUAACGAGUACCAAUUGGAGGGCAAGUCUGGUGCCAGCAGCCGCGGUAAUUCCAGCUCCAAUAGCGUAUAUUAAAGUUGUUGCGGUUAAAAAGCUCGUAGUUGGAUCUGUGUGCCACGCUGUCGGUUCACCGCCCGUCGGUGUCAACUGGCAUGUCUGUGGGACGUCCUGCCGGUGGCGGUACGGGCUGUCGGCGCUGCGUAGGGGUUCGCCCCCGAAGCACGUCGGCGUGUCCCGGUCCGCCGAUUCAAUCCCGCCGCGGUGCUCUUCACUGAGUGUCGAGGUGGGCCGGCACGUUUACUUUGAACAAAUUAGAGUGCUCAAAUCAGGUCGUA
rnacentral:rRNA from 3 species